rnacentral:rRNA from 1 species
CCCAGACUCCUACGGGAGGCAGCAGUGGGGAAUAUUGGGCAAUGGGCGCAAGCCUUACCCAGCAAUACCGCGUGAGUGAAGAAGGUCUUCGGAUUGUAAAGCUCUUUGAUCAGGGACGAACAGAUGACGGUACCUGAAGAACAAGCCCCGGCUAACUACGUGCCAGCAGCCGCGGUAAUACGUAGGGGGCAAGCGUUAUCCGGAUUUACUGGGUGUAAAGGGAGCGUAGGCGGUUUAGCAAGUCAGAAGUGAAAGCCCGGGGCUCAACUCCGGGACUGCUUUUGAAACUGUUGAACUAGAUUGCAGGAGAGGUAAGUGGAAUUCCUAGUGUAGCGGUGAAAUGCGUAGAUAUUAGGAGGAACACCAGUGGCGAAGGCGGCUUACUGGACUGUAAAUGACGCUGAGGCUCGAAAGCGUGGGGAGCAAACAGGAUUAGAUACCCCCGUA